rnacentral:rRNA from 1 species
UACGUAGGUGGCAAGCGUUGUCCGGAUUUACUGGGUGUAAAGGGUGCGCAGGCGGGUUAUCAAGUUGGGUGUGAAAUCUCCGUGCUUAACACGGAGUCUGCAUUCAAAACUGGUAAUCUUGAGUGAGGUAGAGGUAGAUGGAAUUCCCGGUGUAGCGGUGAAAUGCGUAGAGAUCGGGAGGAACACCAGUGGCGAAGGCGGUCUACUGGGCCUUAACUGACGCUGAGGCACGAAAGCAUGGGUAGCAAAC